CUUGCGACCAUAUCACGUAUAAACAUCGGUUUCCGUCCGAUCAUCGAAGUUAAUCAAUGCCGAGCCUGGUCAGUACCCAGAUGGGUGACCGAGAUGACAAUGCCUGGUGUUGCAAG